AGGCAGUAAGAACCUAAUUACCACUAGUAAAUGAGAACUUGGACAUAUGACACACUAAGAAACAGCUGCUUAAAUUAUCACCUGUGGUCCCUGGGAAUACAAAGCCUGUUGAAGGCAGAGGGAGGACCCAGUGACUGCAGCAACAUCAUAGUGAGAAUGAGGACUCUAAGGAGGGCGGGGGCCAGCUGCUCAUGACCAAACUGAAGCGUUCAAAGAAAGAAAAUUCCAGCUCAGGGGUUUACAUUCUCAGUUCAAGGUAUGUCCAGUGACAAGCCUCUAAGUCCUAAAUGAUUGCUUAUCUCUUGUAGCUGCUGGCCAGAUUUCGCCAAAACUCCCAAAUGGAGGCCAAUCAUGCACAUGACUGAAUUACAGUGUAAGUUGAUUCAGAACUUCGUUCACCAGGUCUUCUUUAGCAAAUAUAGGAAAUGUUUUGGUUAGGAGUGAGAAUAGGAGACAAGGGAAUGAGGACUUCAGAGCUUCUCCUGCUAACAGAGGCUCCUCCUUUGAUGAGGCCAAACCUACCGACACCUAAUGUAGUUACCUUGGAAGAAAGGACGGUUCUUCUCAUACCAAUUUCUACCUCCCCCACAGCCUCUACACCUAUAGUUAUAAUCAGAUCCCCGCAUACCCCAG
rnacentral:lncRNA from 1 species